rnacentral:rRNA from 1 species
GGAUAAUCUCGGGAAACUGAGGAUAAUACCCCAUAGACCACUACGCCUGGAACGGUGAGUGGUUGAAAGCUCCGGCGGUGUAGGAUGGGUCUGCGGCGUAUCAGGUCGUAGGGGGUGUAAUGGGCCUCCUAGCCAUCGACGCGUACGGGUUGUGGGAGCAAUAGCCCGGAGACGGAUUCUGAGACACGAAUCCGGACCCUACGGGGUGCAGCAGGCGCGAAAACUUCACACUGCAGGAAACUGUGAUGAGGGAACUCCAAGUGACUGCACAAUGUGUAGCCUUUUCUUGAAUCUUAAUAGUUCUUGGAAUAAGGGCUGGGAAAGACCGGUGCCAGCCGCCGCGGUAAUACCGGCAGCUCAAGUGGUCGUCGCUUUUAUUGGGCCUAAAACGUCCGUAGCCUGUUUGGUAAAUCUGUGGGUAAAUCAACGAGCUUAACUCGUUGAAUUCUGCAGAGACUGCCAGACUANGGACCGGGAGAGGUAUGAGGUACUCUGGGGGUA